rnacentral:rRNA from 1 species
UACGUAGGGGGCGAGCGUUGUCCGGAUUUAUUGGGCGUAAAGAGUUCGUAGGCGGUUUGGCAAGUCGGGUGUGAAAACUCCGGGCUCAACUCGGAGACGCCACUCGAUACUGCUAUGACUCGAGUCCGGUAGGGGAGUGCGGAAUUCCUGGUGUAGCGGUGAAAUGCGCAGAUAUCAGGAGGAACACCGGUGGCGAAGGCGGCACUCUGGGCCGGUACUGACGCUGAGGAGCGAAAGCGUGGGGAGCGAACAGG